rnacentral:rRNA from 1 species
CCUACGGGAGGCAGCAGUGGGGAAUAUUGGGCAAUGGACGCAAGUCUGAACCAGCCAUGCCGCGUGCAGGAAGACGGCUCUAUGAGUUGUAAACUGCUUUUGUACGAGGGUAAACGCAGAUACGCGUAUCUGUCUGAAAGUAUCGUACGAAUAAGGAUCGGCUAACUCCGUGCCAGCAGCCGCGGUAAUACGGAGGAUUCAAGCGUUAUCCGGAUUUAUUGGGUUUAAAGGGUGCGUAGGCGGUCGGAUAAGUUAGAGGUGAAAUCCCGAGGCUCAACUUCGGAAUUGCCGCUGAUACUGUUCGGCGAGAGAGUAGUUGCGGUAGGCGGAAUGUAUGGUGUAGCGGUGAAAUGCUUAGAGAUCAUACAGAACACCGAUUGCGAAGGCAGCUUACCAAGCUACUUCUGACGUUGAGGCACGAAAGCGUGGGGAGCAAACAGGAUUAGAUACCCCAGUAGUC